rnacentral:rRNA from 1 species
GGUUGUAAACCUCUUUCAGUAGGGAAGAAGCGAAAGUGACGGUACCUGCAGAAGAAGCGCCGGCUAACUACGUGCCAGCAGCCGCGGUAAUACGUAGGGCGCAAGCGUUAUCCGGAUUUAUUGGGCGUAAAGAGCUCGUAGGCGGUUUGUCGCGUCUGCCGUGAAAGUCCGAGGCUCAACCUCGGAUCUGCGGUGGGUACGGGCAGACUAGAGUGAUGUAGGGGAGACUGGAAUUCCUGGUGUAGCGGUGAAAUGCGCAGAUAUCAGGAGGAACACCGAUGGCGAAGGCAGGUCUCUGGGCAUUUACUGACGCUGAGGAGCGAAAGCAUGGGGAGCGAACAGGAUUAGAUACCCUGGUAGUCC